UUAUUCAAUAAGUGAUGUUUAGAGAUGGGGUCCGCGAAGAGAGAACGAUAGAGGACAAUGAGGAAAAGUCGGAAAAGGAAGAAUCAAUUUGUGGUGAAAUUAUUUAGCGUCCCGAGGCAUCCUGAUAUUGAAGUCGUUCGAAUCCAGUUAAAGAUGGUUGCAAAGUCUCGAAAGAUAAUCCUAGACGAGGACGAUUUUUGCGAUUUCGGCAUAAUCAUACCAUUCAAAGAAGACAAAGAAAUUCUGCAACAAACUUUGUCAAUUUACUCAUGACAAUGACUGACUCCAUUUAUCGUCAACCUAUAUGGGUAAACGUAAUUUUCGGAGAAACUUUAGAGGACAAAAUUUUCGAGGCCGCAACUAUCAAGGCGGUAACCAUCGCGGACGUGUAAAUCCAGGAUCAAAAUUAAUUUUAAUUAAAAACUAUUCGUAAUUUUUAUUCUAAUAAAAAAAAUUGUUUCAU